AUAAUUUUGGAACGAUAAAGUCAUAGUUUUUAUUUUUUAGACAGGACCUACAUAUAGGGAAGGAGGAUGAUGUACCCCGCCAUGAAAGGAGUGCAUGCUGCAGAGACAGAAAUUGGAUCAGUGCUCAGGACUUUGCAUCAGCCUUAUCACGAAGCAAGACAUCAGGUCUGCAGUACUUGCCAAUGGAAUGUGUCGGGUGCUAGUAGAUCAUGGCAGGGAAUUUUAUUUGACACUGUUCAUGCAGGAGCUGCUGUUGUCAAAUCGCCAAAAUCAGGAGAGAAAGCCUUACUUACAGACUUCAUCAACAAGGAAUCAUAUAGUUGAACGACUCUUGCCUGAGGUAAAUAAUCGUGUCAACUAUCCCCUCAAUACAGCCCUUCUGCAAUUGGUGGAUCAAGAGGAACUAGACAUGGAUGACAACCUUGUUAGACAUAGUGUGUCCAACCUGACAAUCCAGUUGUGCCAGAUUGGUGUUACAAAGGUGGUGCAGCGCUCACCGAAUACCAGGUGAAAUAAACCAGUGAAAACUAAAACAGGCAUUCAUAAGUUUCAAGAUCAACCAUAUGUUCUUUAUUUUACAGGUAAAGAGAUACCAAAUGACUUGGCUGGCAGUGGUUGUCCAAAACAAAUCCCUGAGGAGCUGUUGCCUCAUUCAGUUGAAGCAGCAGUCCUUUAUAGCCAACAGCUGGGAUCGCAAAUGACUGCACAUUCUACUUUUGGAGCUGAUCCAUUUUCAACUGAACAGGACAAAAUUACAGUGGAGUAUCAGCUUUCAGAGAAAUAUUCAGACAUAUCAGACUUGUGCAAAAUGUUACUCCUCUUCAAAAAGGGAUUUCAGAACAGACAAUACCUCUGAAUGACCAUUAACCUCAAAUAUGUUGCUGUCUCUGGAGUUCCCCCUACAUUUUGCACAUUUUGUCUCCUGCCACUGUUCCACACAUCUUUUGCAGCCAAUGAUGCUUUUACAACAUUGUGUGAAGACUGGCUCUUAGAUGAACUCUAAAAAAACAAAGCAUCUUCAUCUUUUCGGCCGCUGAACGGAAAACAGAGAUAGUUGCUGCUACUGUUACAUUGGUAUUGGUAAUGGAUAUCUAACCUUUUGUUUGAAAGAUUAGAAAAGGGGGCAAAUAAAUAACAAUAGCAGAAAUAAAUAAAAGUACUUUUAUUCAUGAAUGUAACUUGGCCAGGUCAGGGCUGCUUUUCAUUAAUUUCAUUCAAAACAAGCUCAAUUUCACUCCUUGAUUUUGUGGAUUUGUUUUUUAAUUAUUCUUUAUAAUUAUACUUAUAAUUUUGUUGUUAUAUGUACAUAUAUAUAUCUGUAUAGAGAUAUAUACAUAUUUAUGUACAUAUAUAUAUAUACAGCAUUUUUUCGUUCCUGUCUUCUAGUAAUUUUAAUUUUUGUUAUUAUAACUAGAAAAACAAAUCAUUUUUUAAAUUUAGUCCAUCCCUUUCUGACAUUGACAAAGAAAAAAGCCUUGUAAUUCAAUUGAAAUUUUUGUAUUUUAAAACAAAAUUUAAAUAACCACUCAUUUUUUGUUUUUAAAUAUCCGUUUGUAUUGAAAAUCGAAUGACCAAAAGAGACACGGACCCAACUAACAUCUGUUUUUUCAUUUUGAUUUUGUAAAUGAAUAUUGAGAAAACAAGUCCUUUUUUUUGUUGUGAAAAAAAAAAAAUUUUCUCUGCCUUCACUAUCUCCUGGUCUCUGAUUCACCAGGGCGGGCGGCACACCCAGAUUAAUUGCCAUGCAUCUGGAGGACAUCAGCUGACAUCUGUGGGCUGUAGGUUAGGUUACACUUGUGGGGACCCCCCUGACACACACAAACGCUCCAGAGUUCACUUGCAAGUGGUCCAAGACCACCUCAUUCAGGCGGACCAGAGUUUGAUUGUUGCACAUCAAAGGUCUCAGACCACAUUCACACUAAUCCAAAUUAAUAUAACAAAGGGGUAAAUGCACAAGGGUUUUAUUUAACUGCAACUAAAUCAGGCUGGUGUGAAUGCACCCUUAGUUUUGACUAAACUAUGGCAAUCCCUGAACAGGAAAGUAAGUAAUGACGGUUGGCUUUAUCAGUGAGUAUUUCUUCACUGAAAGAAAAGGAGUAAAGGAGGUUCAGUAUUUCCCAACUGGCUGAGGCAAUUGUGAUGGACAGAUGGUUCUUCCAAUCAGAUGCCAAAUAUUUCCACAUAGCCUUCCCAGAUUGGUACGAGAAUGGACCAUCUGCUCCGUCAGGUUACAAAACUUCCACAUUAAACAUUUUGAAAAACAUUAAUAAAAUUCAACAGUUCACGAUGAAUGCAACAUGAAUGAACAGUUGGCACACCACUGUUGCAAAGCAAACAGCAGAACAAUGAGUUGUGACUGAUUUAGUGGUGAGGAAUUCUAAGCACAAAUGCUUCCUCAGCGAUUUUAUUAUCUCCACAGAGUUGCCAACAAACUGCUCUGAAUUUAUGGCUGUAUUGAAACACUCGAUGCAGCAUGGAUACUUGAAAUUCUCCAGGGAACUUAGGGAGGUUUAGACUUGUCCAAAUUAAUCAACAACUCAGUUGCUUUACAUAAACAAUUAAUUACAGGGCACCAAGAUUGUGAAAGAACAUGGAGAAAAAAAUCCUUAAUAAAAAACCUUUAAUAAGCAGACUCCACAAUGCUGAGACAUAACGAACAGGCCAAGAUUAUACUCUGGUAAAGGUCAGCAAUCAAUCUCGAUGCAACACAUAAUUAAAAUUCGAAAUAACUUGACAAAUGGAGAUGGUUUC